rnacentral:rRNA from 1 species
AACGAACUCUGGUAUUGAUUGGUGCUUGCAUCAUGAUUUACAUUUGAGUGAGUGGCGAACUGGUGAGUAACACGUGGGAAACCUGCCCAGAAGCGGGGGAUAACACCUGGAAACAGAUGCUAAUACCGCAUAACAACUUGGACCGCAUGGUCCGAGCUUGAAAGAUGGCUUCGGCUAUCACUUUUGGAUGGUCCCGCGGCGUAUUAGCUAGAUGGUGGGGUAACGGCUCACCAUGGCAAUGAUACGUAGCCGACCUGAGAGGGUAAUCGGCCACAUUGGGACUGAGACACGGCCCAAACUCCUACGGGAGGCAGCAGUAGGGAAUCUUCCACAAUGGACGAAAGUCUGAUGGAGCAACGCCGCGUGAGUGAAGAAGGGUUUCGGCUCGUAAAACUCUGUUGUUAAAGAAGAACAUAUCUGAGAGUAACUGUUCAGGUAUUGACGGUAUUUAACCAGAAAGCCACGGCUAACUACGUGCCAGCAGCCGCGGUAAUACGUAGGUGGCAAGCGUUGUCCGGAUUUAUUGGGCGUAAAGCGAGCGCAGGCGGUUUUUUAAGUCUGAUGUGAAAGCCUUCGGCUCAACCGAAGAAGUGCAUCGGAAACUGGGAAACUUGAGUGCAGAAGAGGACAGUGGAACUCCAUGUGUAGCGGUGAAAUGCGUAGAUAUAUGGAAGAACACCAGUGGCGAAGGCGGCUGUCUGGUCUGUAACUGACGCUGAGGCUCGAAAGUAUGGGUAGCAAACAGGAUUAGAUACCCUGGUAGUCCAUACCGUAAACGAUGAAUGCUAAGUGUUGGAGGGUUUCCGCCCUUCAGUGCUGCAGCUAACGCAUUAAGCAUUCCGCCUGGGGAGUACGGCCGCAAGGCUGAAACUCAAAGGAAUUGACGGGGGCCCGCACAAGCGGUGGAGCAUGUGGUUUAAUUCGAAGCUACGCGAAGAACCUUACCAGGUCUUGACAUACUAUGCAAAUCUAAGAGAUUAGACGUUCCCUUCGGGGACAUGGAUACAGGUGGUGCAUGGUUGUCGUCAGCUCGUGUCGUGAGAUGUUGGGUUAAGUCCCGCAACGAGCGCAACCCUUAUUAUCAGUUGCCAGCAUUAAGUUGGGCACUCUGGUGAGACUGCCGGUGACAAACCGGAGGAAGGUGGGGAUGACGUCAAAUCAUCAUGCCCCUUAUGACCUGGGCUACACACGUGCUACAAUGGAUGGUACAACGAGUUGCGAACUCGCGAGAGUAAGCUAAUCUCUUAAAGCCAUUCUCAGUUCGGAUUGUAGGCUGCAACUCGCCUACAUGAAGUCGGAAUCGCUAGUAAUCGCGGAUCAGCAUGCCGCGGUGAAUACGUUCCCGGGCCUUGUACACACCGCCCGUCACACCAUGAGAGUUUGUAACACCCAAAGUCGGUGGGGUAACCUUUUAGG